AGCAGAACACUCCGGCCUGAGAGAGCAGCAGUAGCAUGUCUUCACGGCCAGAUAAGAAAAGGAACAAAGGCAUUGUUGGUCAAGCCAGAGUAGGGUCAAACAGGUACCUGCUCAGUGUCUGCCCUUGCGCAGUGGGAACCAGAGAAGAGUGCAAAUAACCUGAGGGUACCAGAAAGCGAAGGAAAAGAAGAGGAGCAACAUGGCCAAGUCCAGUGCAAGAAACUGCCUUCGGGGAUUUCCCACACCGAGCUUUGUGACUGACGUUGCAGCCUGCUUUCCCAGAGCCACAGCCAGAAGAGGACAAGAGAGCCCUGACUGGGCUGGCACUUCAUUCACUCUUUCUGGGAAGUGCAAAGAUGUGGAGACAGUGUCAGUUCCGUCUGGCAGCAUCAGUCGUUCUGAGCUUGGUCUUGGUUUAUCGGCUUUUAUUCCGUCUCUCACCUAACCCCAGCUUUCUGUACCCAACACCAGUGCCUCCCUGAAAGCCUCCCAGGUGGACACUACCCUGCUGCCUGCUUCUGUGGGCGGGAAGGAUAACACUACAUGCUUUGCUGCCCUUUACGGGGCUCCCCAAAUCCUGGUGUUUCAGUUACCUGGAGACAAGGCAGCUGGCAGGAAUUCUGUGAGAGAGGGGCGGGAAAUUAGGAGAAUGAAAGUCAAGGAAGAUCCCUGGUGGAAACUGAGAGAAAAGUGACCAGACUGAAGCUUGUCUAGACUUUUGAGUAACACGUUGGCUAAUGUUUCGCCUGUCCUGAAUCACCCUGGCAUUACCAACAAAGAAUAAUGCAUGAUCCUUCUUGAAGUAAAAGGAAUUUAGUAACACUUCACAGAAAAUUCUACUGUAAAU
ensembl:lncRNA